rnacentral:rRNA from 1 species
GACGAACGCUGGCGGCGUGCCUAAUACAUGCAAGUAGAACGCUGAAGAGAGGAGCUUCCUCUUCUUGGAUGAGUUGCGAACGGGUGAGUAACGCGUAGGUAACCUGCCUUGUAGCGGGGGAUAACUAUUGGAAACGAUAGCUAAUACCGCAUAACAAUGGAUGACACAUGUCAUUUAUUUGAAGGGGGCAAUUGCUCCACUACAAGAUGGACCUGCGUUGUAUUAGCUAGUAGGUGAGGUAAUGGCUCACCUAGGCGACGAUACAUAGCCGACCUGAGAGGGUGAUCGGCCACACUGGGACUGAGACACGGCCCAGACUCCUACGGGAGGCAGCAGUAGGGAAUCUUCGGCAAUGGGGGCAACCCUGACCGAGCAACGCCGCGUGAGUGAAGAAGGUUUUCGGAUCGUAAAGCUCUGUUGUAAGUCAAGAACGGGUGUGAGAGUGGAAAGUUCACACUGUGACGGUAGCUUACCAGAAAGGGACGGCUAACUACGUG